AGUGAACGCUGGCGGUAGGCCUAACACAUGCAAGUCGAACGGCAGCACAGUAAGAGCUUGCUCUUACGGGUGGCGAGUGGCGGACGGGUGAGGAAUACAUCGGAAUCUACUUUUUCGUGGGGGAUAACGUAGGGAAACUUACGCUAAUACCGCAUACGACCUACGGGUGAAAGCAGGGGAUCUUCGGACCUUGCGCGAUUGAAUGAGCCGAUGUCGGAUUAGCUAGUUGGCGGGGUAAAGGCCCACCAAGGCGACGAUCCGUAGCUGGUCUGAGAGGAUGAUCAGCCACACUGGAACUGAGACACGGUCCAGACUACUACGGGAGGCAGCAGUGGGGAAUAUUGGACAAUGGGCGCAAGCCUGAUCCAGCUAUACCGCGUGGGUGAAGAAGGCCUUCGGGUUGUAAAGCCCUUUUGUUGGGAAAGAAAAGCAGCAGGUUAAUACCCCGCUGUUCUGACGGUACCCAAAGAAUAAGCACCGGCUAACUUCGUG
rnacentral:rRNA from 1 species